rnacentral:lncRNA from 1 species
AUUCAGGCGCACAAGAUGAAGCAGAGCUCUUGCAGGAAUGGUUUAAGCUGGCUCUGGAGAAGAAUAAAUUAAUGCGAUAUGAGUCAGAGCUCCUGAUCAUGGCCCAAGAAUUAGAAUUGGAAGAUCAUCAAAGCAGACUGGAACAGAAAUUAAGACAGAAAAUGCUCAAGGAGGGUGAGUACAAUGAUGUGUGUUUGGGUCCCUGUGAAGGACAUUUUCCCCAGAAAGGCACUUGCACAGAGCGCAGCCCAAAGCAGGGCGCUCUUCCCAUCUUGCGCGAGCAGCCUGGAGGCGAAGGGGGAGGCUGGAGAGGUGGAAGCCCACCGCCUGCCCAGCAAGGCACUUCUGGCUUCGUUCACCUGGGCUGUGAGGGCAGCAUGGGACUCCAUCCCACAGGCUAA